rnacentral:ncRNA from 1 species
AAACCUCUAGCGAAAAUCGUGUACGUUU